AAGUCGUAACAAGGUCUCCGUUGGUGAACCAGCGGAGGGAUCAUUACUGAGUGUAAAAACUCCCAAACCCAUUGUGAACAUACCACUGUUGCUUCGGCGGAUGCGCCCCGGGCGCGCUCCUCACAGGGCGUGCCCCGGAACCAGGCGCCCGCCGGGGGAACGAAACUCUUGUUUUUAUAGGAUCUCUGAGUGUGAUUAUAAAAUAAAUCAAAACUUUCAACAACGGAUCUCUUGGCUCUA
rnacentral:misc_RNA from 1 species